GGGAUUGUGCACCUGAGUCUGACAUCGUAGAAGGACCAUUCAUGCAUCAGAUUGGAUUUUGCACCUGAGUCUGACAUCGUAGAAGAACCAUUCUUGCAUCAGAUUGGAUUAUGCACCUGAGUUUGACAUGGUAGAAGGACCAUUCGGGCAUCAGAUUGGAUUUUGCACCUGAGUCUGACAUCGUAGAAGAACCAUUCUUGCAUCAGAUUGGAUUUUGCCCAUGGGUCUGACAUCGUAGAAGGACCAUUCAUGCAUCAAAUUGGAUUUUGCACCUGAGUCUGACAUCGUAGAAGAACCAUUCUUGCAUCAGAUUUGAUUUUGCACCUGAGUCUGACAUCGUAGAAGAACCAUUCAUACAUCAGAUGGGAUUUUGCCCAUGGGUCUGACAUCAUAGAAGGACCAUUCAUGCAUCAAAUUGGAUUUUGCGCCUGAGUCUGACAUCGUAGAAGAACCAUUCUUGCAUCAGAUUGGAUUUUGCACCUGAGUCUGACAUCGUAGAAGAACCAUUCUUACAUCAGAUUGUAAGUAUUAAAUUUCUUUAUCAUUUCCGCAAAUAAUUUUUGUGAUUAUCUCA